AGCUGCCCUCACAGAAGUGAAACUUAUAUUCCUCUCAGACAGCAGCAGUAUCUGAGAGUUUGAAACUUGGUGGAUAGAGAAGAUACUAUGGAGACGUGCUUUAUUCUCAGAAUUUGCUCUGCGCUGGGAGACUCGGUUCAGUCUAACGAACCCGAAAUGUCUGGAUCAGCUGGAGGUUCCGUGACACUCAGCUGUUCUUACACCACCAGCGCUGCCUAUGCCUAUCUUUUCUGGUACCGCCAGUAUCCGAACCAAGUCCUGCAGUACAUUCUCUGGAAGGGAGCGAAGUCCGCCAGCGGUACCAGCCACACUGAAGAUUUCGCCCAGGAGAGGUUUUCGCCCCAGUCCAAUGACAGCUCCACAGUUCUGAACAUCACAGCGCUGGAGCCGGCAGACACAGCGGUGUAUCUCUGCGCCCUGCAGAGAGCACAGUGACAGAGCCACAUAGCAGGGCCGUACAAGAACACUUCCUUCCCAGCUGCAGAUAAUGUUGGGCACAGUGAGGUUGGAAGCGGAACCCCUCGGGAGUUCUGCUGCACUGUUAAAAACACAUAUUCUGGCUCGGAUGUGGUGCUGUCAGAUGACUCCUUCCUGAUCUC